rnacentral:rRNA from 1 species
AUUGAACGCUGGCGGCAGGCCUAACACAUGCAAGUCGAACGAGUGGCGGACGGGUGAGUCAUGUCUGUGAAACUGCCUGAUGGCUGGGGUUAACUACUGGAAACGGCAGCUAAUCCCGCAUACCAUCGGAUGUUCCCAGAUGGUAUUAGCUAGUAGGUGGGGUAAAGGCUCACCUAGGCGACGAUCCCUAGCUGGUCUGAGAGGUUGACCGGCCACACUGGAACUGAGACACGGUCCAGACUCCUACGGGAGGCAGCAGUAGGGAAUAUUGCGCAAUGGGCGCAAGCCUGAUGCAGCCAUGCCGCGUGUAUGAUGAAGGCCUUCGGGUUGUAAAGUUCUGUCAGCAGGGAGGCGUUACCCGCAGAGGAAGCACCGGCUAACUCCGUGCCAGCAGCCGCGGUAAUAC